rnacentral:tRNA from 1 species
GGUUCUAUGGUGUAUUGGUUAGUACUUCAGACUCUGAAUCUGACAAUCUUAGUUCAAAUCUCGGUAGAACCU